rnacentral:lncRNA from 1 species
UGGAAGGGGAGUGAGCAGACACACUCAGGAGGUGUCUUGAGAUUAUCAUCCGCUGAGGGUGGAGCUGAGGGUGGAAGGGGAGUGAGCAGACACUCGGGAGGUGUCUUGAGAUUAUCAUCCGCUGAGGGUGGAAGGGGAUAGAGCAGGCACUCGGCAGGUGUCUUGAGAUUAUCAUCCGCUGAGGGUGGAAGGGGAUAGAGCAGGCACUCGGCAGGUGUCUUGAGAUUAUCAUCCGCUGAGGGUAGAGCUGAGGGUGGAAGGGGAGUGAGCAGACACUCGGGAGGUGUCUUGAGGCUCAGGGAGUUAUCAAUUAUAGAAUGUUGUUGAGUUGGAGGAGGUGGCUGGUGGCCCAUCCUGUUUUUUAAAGUUUCAGCUGUGAGGUA